rnacentral:rRNA from 1 species
AUACGGAGGGUGCAAGCGUUACUCGGAAUCACUGGGCGUAAAGCGCGCGCAGGCGGCUAUUUAAGUUGGAUGUGAAAGCCUAUGGCUCAACCAUAGAACUGCAUCCAAAACUAUUUAGCUAGAGUGCGGGAGAGGAAGAUGGAAUUAGUUGUGUAGGGGUAAAAUCCGUAGAGAUAACUAGGAAUACCAAAAGCGAAGGCAAUCUUCUGGAACACUACUGACGCUGAGGCGCGAAAGCGUGGGGAGCAAACAGGAUUAGAAACCCUAGUAGUCC